UCAAAAUUUGUUUUAAAAUAUAUGUAUCGAGAUUAGGAAUUAGGUAUAAAUGCCGUUUUGCAUAAGCUAAUAUGGGAACUAGGGACAUCUGAAAGGGUAACUAAAAAUAAUAAGCACCAUUAACUCUCUCUAUUGUGGUGUGAAUCAGUGCUAGCUAGCACACUUUAUUAUUUCUUCUCUCUCUCUCUCUCUUGGGCGUGGCUAUAUAUGUGAGUUAGGGUUUUAAGAGUGUAUGUAUGUGUUUGUUGUUGAGGGGAAUGUUGGCUGGCUCGAGGCUUUUCACAAAAUGAAGGUUCUCACUCACUCAUCAUAUUAUGGGAGGAGAAGUUGUAGAACUACUAAGGCUUCGGACCAGGCUUCAUUCCCCUCAAAAAAUCUUCUUCUUAUUCAUUGUGGUUUGCUUGUUAUUACUAUUAUGCAAAGGUUAUCGGUUGAGAGGAAUGUUGUCUGGCUCGAGGUCGUAUAGGCCGUUAUCAUUUAGAUAUUUUCGUGAUAACGACCUUAGUGAUUCUCGGACCAGGCUUCAUUCCCCUCACCCAACAUUUUGCUUCUUAUAUAUUUAUGAAGAACAACACUAACUCUUCAUCUACAUUAUUAUUGUUGAUUAUUUCUGGAUUUUCAAUCUUUGUUCUUUCAGAUAUAUAAUACCACAAGACAAGAGAAAGUUAACGAGAGAAGCAGUGACAGUGAGAAGAAGGAUUCUGUGUGUGACACUGUUCAUAGAGAAUAGAUAUACAUAAUUUCCAUUAUGAUGAUGAUCCAGAUAUCUGAAUCUGCAUACUAAACCUGGAAAUUAAAAUGGGGGAAGAGAGAAAUUAUUUGUUACGAUGUGUGUGUGUUUUAGUGUAACGAAUUUAUGAAGCUUUUAAAGUUGUUGAAAAUUCAGAAACCAUCUUUGGAAAAAUGUUUGGAUCAACUUCGUCAUUGUCAUAA